UUUCCGUAGGUGAACCUGCGGAAGGAUCAUUAUUGGAUUUUGAAUCUUCGGGAUGCUGCUGGCUGUCCGCGGAGGGCAUGUGCAAGCUUGUUGUCCAUUAUUUCUCCCGCUGUGCACAAAUUGUAGGACUUUUAGUCGUACUAGGUUGUUUUUCACAUUCUCUGAAUGUAAAAGAAUGCUUUUGAAUCUUGGUCAAUACAAUACAACUUUCAGCAACGGAUCUCUUGGCUCUC
rnacentral:misc_RNA from 1 species